rnacentral:rRNA from 1 species
GAUGAACGCUGGCGGCGUGCUUAACACAUGCCAGUCGAACGGAAAGGCUCCUGCUUGCAGGGGUACUCGAGUGGCGAACGGGUGAGUAACACGUGGGUGAUCUGCCCUGCACUUCGGGAUAAGCCUGGGAAACUGGGUCUAAUACCGGAUAGGACGAUGGUUUGGGUACCAUUGUGGAAAGUUUUUCGGUGUGGGAUGAGCUCGCGGCCUAUCAGCUUGUUGGUGGGGUAAUGGCCUACCAAGGCGUCGACGGGUAGCCGGCCUGAGAGGGUGUACGGCCACAUUGGGACUGAGAUACGGCCCAGACUCCUACGGGAGGCAGCAGUGGGGAAUAUUGCACAAUGGGCGCAAGCCUGAUGCAGCGACGCCGCGUGGGGGAUGACGGCCUUCGGGUUGUAAACUCCUUUCGCUAGGGACGAAGCGCAAGUGACGGUACCUGGAGAAGAAGCACCGGCUAACUACGUG